rnacentral:rRNA from 1 species
ACAUGGUCGUUCUUAGUUGGUGGAUCGAUUUGUUGAGUUAAUUUCGAUAACGAACGAGACUAUAGCCAAUUAAAUAGGUGCGUGGUUCUCUGCACCUUGCACCCUUUUUAGAGGGACAAGCGGCUUCUAGCCGCAAGAAACAGAGCAAUAACAGGUCUGUGAU